rnacentral:rRNA from 1 species
GCUCAGUAACACGUGGAUAACGUGCCCUAGAGUGGAGGAUAAUCUCGGGAAAUUGAGGAUAAUACUCCAUAGAUCAUGAAUUCCGGAACGACUCAUGGUCAAAAGUUCCGGCGCUCUAGGAUCGGUCUGCGGCCUAUCAGGUAGUAGUGGGUGUAACGGACCCACUAGCCGACGACGGGUAUGGGCCUUGAGAGAGGGAGCCCAGAGAUGGAAUCUGAGACACGAUUCCAGGCCCUACGGGGCGCAGCAGUCGCGAAAACUUCACAAUGGAGGCAACUCCGAUGAGGGAAUUCCAAGUGCUAGCACAUUAGUGUUAGCUUUUCUUAAGCAUAGAUAACUUAAGGAAUAAGGGCUGGGUAAGACGGGUGCCAGCCGCCGCGGUAAUACCCGCAGCCCAAGUGGUGGUCGAUUUUAUUGAGUCUAAAACGUUCGUAGCCGGUUCAUUAAAUCCUUGGGUAAAUCGGAUGGCUUAACUAUCCGAAUUCCGGGGAGACUGGUGAACUUGGGACCGGGAGAGGCAAGAGGUACUUUUGGGGUAGGGGUAAAAUCCUGUAAUCCUAGAAGGACCACCGGUGGCGAAGGCGUCUAGCUAGAACGGAUCCGACGGUGAGGGACGAAGCCCUGGGUCGCAAACGGGAUUAGAUACCCCGGUAGUCCAGGGUGUAAACGCUGCCGACUUGGUGUUGGAGGCCCUUCGGGGGCAUUCAGUGCCGGAGAGAAGUUGUUAAGUCGGCUACUUGGGGAGUACGUCCGCAAGGAUGAAACUUAAAGGAAUUGGCGGGGGAGCAC